rnacentral:rRNA from 1 species
UACGAAGGGGGCAAGCGUUGUCCGGAUUUAUUGGGCUUAAAGGGCGUGUAGGCGGCGGCGCAAGUGUCGAGUGAAAUCCCAUCGCUCAACGAUGGAACGGCUCGGCAAACUGCGUCGCUUGAGGUCGGUAGAGGUGCUCGGAACUCUAGGUGGAGCGGUGAAAUGCGUAGAUAUCUAGAGGAACGCCUGAGGCGAAAGCGGGGCACUGGGCCGAUACUGACGCUGAGACGCGAAAGCGUGGGGAGCAAACAGG